UUCUUCAAUGACAUCAGAGAAGAGAGCUUCCAUAUGAGGCUCUCCCCAACACCACGUUGGGGGAAGAAAGGCAGAGCCGUGGGGAGCUGGAGGAUGAACCUGCCACAGUGCCCUGCUCUCAGGGCUGGGAGUACGACCACUCAGAGUUCUCCUCUACCAUUGCAACUGAGUCCCAGUGGGAUCUGGUGUGUGAGCAGAAAGGUCUGAACAGAGCUGCGUCCACUUUCUUCUUCGCCGGUGUGCUGGUGGGGGCUGUGGCCUUUGGAUAUCUGUCCGACAGGUUUGGGCGGCGGCGUCUGCUGCUGGUAGCCUACGUGAGUACCCUGGUGCUGGGCCUGGCAUCUGCAGCCUCCGUCAGCUAUGUAAUGUUCGCCAUCACCCGCACCCUUACUGGCUCAGCCCUGGCUGGUUUUACCAUCAUCGUGAUGCCACUGGGUGAGGCAGAGCUGGAGUGGCUGGAUGUGGAGCACCGCACCGUGGCUGGAGUCCUGAGCAGCACCUUCUGGACAGGGGGCGUGAUGCUGCUGGCACUGGUUGGGUACCUGAUACGGGACUGGCGAUGGCUUCUGCUAGCUGUCACCCUGCCUUGUGCCCCAGGCAUCCUCAGCCUCUGGUGGGUGCCUGAGUCUGCACGCUGGCUUCUGACCCAAGGCCAUGUGAAAGAGGCCCACAGGUACUUGCUCCACUGUGCCAGGCUCAAUGGGCGGCCAGUGUGUGAGGACAGCUUCAGCCAGGAGGCUGUGAGCAAAGUGGCCGCCGGGGAACAGGUGGUCCGAAGACCUUCAUACCUAGACCUGUUCCGCACACCACGGCUCCGACACAUCUCACUGUGCUGCGUGGUGGUGUG
rnacentral:sRNA from 1 species